CCUGUCUACUGGAGGCCUUCCCGAGGAGGACAACUUUGGGUUCUCCCAACUGUUUUCCCAGUGUGCUGGGGUAUGAAGUUGGUUCAGGACCCAGAGGGGCUUUCACAUUGUUGAUCUACUGUCAAGCGAUAUCCAUUGCCCCCUGAAAAUCACUGGUACUGACAGAAAGAUCUGCUGGCCUUCUGCAAGGAUCCUCCUGCAUCAAAUGUUUAGGAACAUUCAGUGAGUCUUGAACCACAAUGGUAAUUUUUUUCAGACUAAAGAAUGUGGACUUCCAUCAAAUCAGAAGUUCAACUACAAAUGUCAAGAGAUUGAAGAAGUAUUGCAGUCAGAAAUUGAAGAAAUUUUUUUCUCUCUGUCUCCCAGGAUAUUUUUUAACUUGAGGAAUGUGAGCAGUCUUCUGUGAUUUGUGGAAACCUUUAUAAAAUGAGAUAGGUAUCUGGGAGUAGAAUGGAUAUCUGGGAGAGAAUUUCUUAGGAGAUCACUGUAUGUACAGGUUAUGGCCAUAUCAGUAACGAACUGUGUUGACUUCUGCUAUUGUGGCUGAUAUGCUAAGAUCAAAACUGCUGGGAGCUUGUUUACAGAGACAGUCGCUGGCAUCUACUGUGGUACGCUAUUUCCUGUGCUGUUUAAAUGGCGAUAUUCUGAGCCUGGUAACAGUUGUACUGUGGAAGAGGAGGGGUGGAAGAACUGAUUCAGAAAAUCUUAGUACAAUAUGCUUUUUAUGAACUUAGUGUACAGGUAGUAUUAUCAUUCAUACAUGAUCCUCAGCUUACUUCGUGAACAAGCAAAAAAGAAAAGAUAGAAAAUGGGAGAAAAAAAAAAGAUGCUCAACUUAGCUACCUACUCUUAACUUCUGACUAAGUAUUGGCCAAUAUUUGAAACAAGGUUAGUAAAAAUGAAUAAUAUAAAAAUGUAAAAAGUUAAUAACUCUUUAGUUGUUUAUAAUAUUUAUCUUUCUUGAAAGAAAGUAAGGUUUGCUAGUGAAAUUAUUUGUAAAUCAUUUUCUUAAUUAAUGGAGCUUGAUAUGAUCAAAUUGUGUAACUAGUUUCUACAUUUUGUACCCAUCUUUUUCUUUUGGAAAAUGGGCAAAUCUAAAAUUUUCAGAACUGCAGAACUUGAAGAAAAAUAAGAUCUGUACUAAUUCAAAGAUCCCCAUGAUGGGGCUCAUUAAAUGGAAGAUGCAUCUAUUCAUCUGUUGAAGAUAAACAGAGAACAAAGGUCUUUAUUUUCUGAAUCAUAUACUUCACAAAGUGAAUCAAAACUGGGCAGAAGAGUGGAGCAGAAUGAUAAUAAAGUGUUGGAUCUGA